rnacentral:lncRNA from 1 species
AGAGCAAAUAUUCUUCCACUAGGAUAAAGCCUUACUGGUUGUACUUAGUAAUAUUAUUCAAGAACCCGUAGGCAUAGAGUUCUCUUCGCAUAAAUCCCUCUGAUGUGCAUCACAUACAGGAGAUAUACGGUAAAGUUAGAAUGAACUAAAAAGAAUUCCUAAUGCAAAGCAACUUUUGUCAAGUUUCUUUCACUUUCUCCCGGCAAAUGUCUAGGUCAUUGAAAAAUAAAUAUUCUUCAUCUUUAUUGAUUCUUAAAAUAUUAUAAUCUCGUAGAGUCAUAGUUAACAUAUUUUCUUUCCAAAAUUAAUUGUCAAAUAAAUAGGGGCAAAAGUGACUUUUAAUUCUCAAAUAAAUGAGGUAAAGUGGACAGAUUCCCUGCACAGACAUACCAUGCCAACUUUCAACUUACAUCACCGAAGAAAGCCCACAGCUACUACAAUGAACGCGCACACAGAAUAACACACACUCUUUCUCUCUCAUCCGAACCGCUUUGUUGUGGAGCGCGUAAGCCGAUAAGAAUGUGUUACAGCAUAGCAGAUGAUUCGGGUCGGAUUGAUCCACAACCCGACGCAUGGCCAAAUAAAUGAAUAUAAUUACAUUGAGAUCCCUAAUUAUUAACAAAAACACAUGUAUAUACAUUGUUUUUCAGAAUAAUCCAACCAUCUGAAUUCAAGAGGUUUAUAAAAUCAAUGAUUUGAGUAUUGUAUUCAUAUGCCCGCC